AACGAACGCUGGCGGCAUGCCUAACACAUGCAAGUCGAACGAGACCUUCGGGUCUAGUGGCGCACGGGUGCGUAACGCGUGGGAAUCUGCCCUUGGGUUCGGAAUAACAGUGAGAAAUUACUGCUAAUACCGGAUGAUGUCUUCGGACCAAAGAUUUAUCGCCCAGGGAUGAGCCCGCGUAGGAUUAGCUAGUUGGUGGGGUAAUGGCCUACCAAGGCGACGAUCCUUAGCUGGUCUGAGAGGAUGAUCAGCCACACUGGGACUGAGACACGGCCCAGACUCCUACGGGAGGCAGCAGUGGGGAAUAUUGGACAAUGGGCGCAAGCCUGAUCCAGCAAUGCCGCGUGAGUGAUGAAGGCCUUAGGGUUGUAAAGCUCUUUUACCCGGGAUGAUAAUGACAGUACCGGGAGAGUAAGCUCCGGCUAACUCCGUG
rnacentral:rRNA from 1 species